CUUUGAAAGCAGUGGCAGUAUCGUAGCCAAUGAGGUUUAUCCGAGGCGCGAUUAUUGCUAAUUGAAAACCCUUAGAGUGCUGUAAUUAAGAAAGCUUGCAGAGCAUAUGAAAUACAUUUGGGGGGCACCUGGGUGG